UUAGGAAUCUUCCACAAUGGGCGAAAGCCUGAUGGAGCGACGCCGCGUGAGGGAUGAAGGCCUUAGGGUUGUAAACCUCUAAAAGAGGGACGAUAAUGACGGUACCUCUUGAAUAGCACCGGCUAACUCCGUGCCAGCAGCCGCGGUAAUACGGAGGGUGCAAGCGUUAUCCGGAAUCACUGGGCGCAAAGGGCGCGGAGGCGGUCUGUUAAGUCCGAUGUUAAAUCCCGGGGCUCAACCCCGGAUAAGCGUUGGAUACUGGCAGGCUAGACGGUUGGAGAGGCGAGUGGAAUUACCAGUGUAGCGGUGGAAUGCGUAGAUACUGGUAGGAACACCCAUUGCGAAGGCAGCUCGCUGGACAACACGUGACGCUGAGGCGCGAAAGUGUGGGGAGCAAACC
rnacentral:rRNA from 1 species